GCGCCCCUCGCUCAAUGGAUAGAGCAGGCGGUUUUUACCCGCGCGAUGUGAGUUCGAUUCCUACGGAGCACGCCA
rnacentral:tRNA from 1 species